rnacentral:rRNA from 1 species
GACAGAGGGUGCAAACGUUGCUCGGAAUCACUGGGCGUAAAGGGCGUGUAGGCGGGCAUGCAAGUCAGGCGUGAAAUCCCUGGGCUCAACCCAGGAAUUGCACUUGAAACUGCAUGUCUUGAGUAUCGGAGAGGAAAGCGGAAUUCCUGGUGUAGAGGUGAAAUUCGUAGAUAUCAGGAGGAACACCGGUGGCGAAGGCGGCUUUCUGGACGAUAACUGACGCUGAGACGCGAAAGCGUGGGUAGCAAACAGG